GCGAGCGCUCGGGACGGAGCGGGACGGGAAGGGAAGGGACGGGACGGCGCUUCGCUCGCUGUCGCGCCCAGCCUUCCUACUUCUCUCUGAGAAAAACCUUCGAAAGCGCCGGGUCGCAGUGCGCGGGGUCGGUAACUCGGUUCCGCGAGCUGCGCGGCGAAUAAAAGAGCAAAAACCCGCCACUUUUAACCCGGUUUUCGGCAGUCCCCCGCUGCCAAGAGGGGACGUUGACCCCGCCCGAACUUACAAAAGAACACCGGACCUCUUGCUGUCCAUCUGAACAACACCUGGAAGUUGCAGUAAACGAUGUGCCUUACAUGCGGGUUGUGAAAUGCGCGUGAUUUCUCGCAGCAGUGAUGAUUCUGUGUGUGGCUGAUAAACACACAGCCCCAUGCGGAGCACACUCUCGGACACACAGCUUUAUGUAAGGAGAAGCAAGCAUACAGAAGUUCUGCUGAAACUGGCUAUCUUCAGAUUAGGGUUCAGAUGGUGAGCUCAAUAUCUGGUGCCCAGGGGAGUCCAGCUUUUGGACAGGAACUGAAGAAACAUCGUGUGGAUGACUUGCAUGUAUGACAUGAUCCAUAGUCAGGCAUGUUGAUGACCGGGUUCUUACUUGGAUCUUACUUCUGCAUCUUUGGUUCAGCAUCACUCAGCCCUGUGCUGUCAACUCAGUGUGUGAAACAUCAUGAGAUGCUGCAUUUCUUGGUAGAAGCAAAUGUCAAGGCAGAAAAAUUAAGGGAAAGAUGUAGGGUGCAGUUUUCAAAUACUUCAGACUGCGUGAAUAAAUAGGUUUUUUUCCAAAAGAAACACAUCCAUGUCGUGACCAAAAGCUAUAUUACAAACCUGUAUUUGCCAAAAUAAGAUUAAAAGUUUUGCCUCAAUUUGACUCAUUUAUAUAUUAAUGUGCUGUUUGCGUAAAUCAGAAAUAGUUAUGUCUGUUCUACCAUACCAGCUUCAACAUACAUUAAAAAAUGAUGACAGUUAUUUCAACUACAAAAUGAAGAAAGAGGAUUUAACUUCACUGCAUUUUCUUCUAGACAAGCAGGCAUUUUUCUUACACUGAGAAUGCCGGUGUGUCAUUGCAUAGCAAUCCACAGGAAUUACGAGGCAUCUAAUGUUCCUGUUCACUGAAGUAAACGUUGAUUGUGCAACCAUCAGUUUGCUGUGAACUUCUCUACUUUAUUUUGCAGAUUAUGGCAUAGUUAUAUCAGGGAUAAGUUCUUCAUCACUUGGUUGUUCUUAUAAAACACAACCCGGGUUUUACCAUUUUAAAUGCUUACCGUAUAAUAUUCAAUACAUCUAAAGGCAUGCGAGUAAAUAUUUUUCUUCUAACUUCAUUGCCAGCAAUGAAGAAGUAUUUUUCACAGAAAGCAAUGCUGAAUUGUAUGUAUGUAGAAUACGAUCAAGCUGUUUAUGUAGACAUGGAUGUAAGGGAAUGUGUUGAUGUAAUUGGUAUCAUGAGGUUCUGAAGGACAUACACACAAGCACGCUGUUUCACCUUAUUUUCAUUGCUUCUUCCUUAAAUAACUCUUCUUCUGUGUAUUUUCAUUCCGGAGGAUAAUUUGUAAAACCAUAUCCCUGAAUA